AGCUGAGUGUCCCGCGGGGCCCGAAGCGU
rnacentral:piRNA from 1 species